UACGGAGGGUGCAAGCGUUAAUCGGAAUUACUGGGCGUAAAGCGCACGCAGGCGGUCUGUUAAGUCAGAUGUGAAAUCCCCGGGCUCAACCUGGGAACUGCAUUUGAAACUGGCAGGCUUGAGUCUUGUAGAGGGGGGUAGAAUUCCAGGUGUAGCGGUGAAAUGCGUAGAGAUCUGGAGGAAUACCGGUGGCGAAGGCGGCCCCCUGGACAAAGACUGACGCUCAGGUGCGAAAGCGUGGGGAGCAAACAGG
rnacentral:rRNA from 1 species